rnacentral:rRNA from 1 species
AACGAACGCUGGCGGCAGGCUUAACACAUGCAAGUUGAACGGGAACAUACGAUAGCUUGCUAUAGUAUGUGAGAGUGGCGCACGGGUGAGUAAUACAUGGGAACAUACCUUGGAGUGGGGAAUAACAACCCGAAAGGGUUGCUAAUACCGCAUAAUGCAGUUGGGUCGCAUGGCUCUGACUGCCAAAGAUUUAUCGCUCUGAGAUGGCCUCGCGUCUGAUUAGCUAGUUGGCGGGGUAACGGCCCACCAAGGCGACGAUCAGUAGCCGGACUGAGAGGUUGACCGGCCACAUUGGGACUGAGACACGGCCCAG